GAUCUUAGUCAGGAUGAACGCUGGCGGCGUGCUUAACACAUGCAAGUCGAACGGGACUUAAUGAAACCUAGUGAUUUAAGUUAGUGGCGGGACGGGUGAGUAACGCGUGGGUAACCUGCCGCAUGCAGGGGGACAACGGAGGGAAACUUCCGCUAAUACCGCAUAAGCGCACGGAGUCGCAUGACUUUGUGUGAAAAGAAUUGUCGGCAUGGCGAUGGACCCGCGUCCGAUUAGCUUGUUGGCGGGGCAGCGGCCCACCAAGGCGACGAUCAGUAGCCGGCCUGAGAGGGUGAACGGCCACAUUGGGACUGAGACACGGCCCAAACUCCUACGGGAGGCAGCAGUGGGGAAUAAUUGCACGAAUGGGGGAAACCCUGAUGCAAGCGACGCCGCGUGAGUGAAGAAGCGUUUCGGCGGCGUAAAGCUCUGUCAGCAGGAAAGAAAAUGACGGUACCUGACCAAGAAGCCCCGGCUAACUACGUGCCAGCCGCUGC
rnacentral:rRNA from 1 species